ACUAGAGUCUUCGACUGUCUUUCCCUUAAAGAUUCCGCCUUUAAAGAAAGCAAAGCUGCAAAAUGGAUGAAUAUUUUUGGUUUGAAAAACAGGAGGAGAGGAAGAAAAGGACCAGUGCAGUGAAGAAAAUCUUGAGAAUUUCUAAUCUGCCCGCGAUGCCCUUCCAGCUCUGGAAUUGUGUCCUACCUACGUACAAAGUCAUUACGUUGAGGGUUGAGUCUUCGAUGGGGAGGUGUGCGAAAGAUGAUGGGAUGGUGAUGAGAUGUGAUCCACCAGAAAGGUAAGAAAUAUUAAAUUUACUGACAACAAAACUAUUUCACAUCUUCUUCGUUCUGGUCUCUUUCAUUGUCUUUACAGAUCGAGAGGGUCUUAACUCUAAACUUAAAACAAAGGCUUUGCUUGGAAGGAACGUCUUCCUUGGUAAGUAAAAGGUGGUGAAGGGGAGUUCUAGGCGCUUGGGCAGGCGUGUUGCAGGCAGAUAUUACCACAUGCAUGCAUACAGACAAACACUAGGUGUCCAAAGAAUAUGACGCAUUCUAUACGGCAAUCGUACACUUGGUGACAUGUCACUUUCUCCUCUGGUGUUUUUGUGUUCUGCUGUAGUUUGAUGCUGUUUCUCCUUGCAGUUGCAUUUGGGGAGGGUGCAGAAGAAAAUCUCUCUCAUGUCACGUGACCGUUACGUGAAUAAAGAACUUUGAAACUCAAAUCAGACAGAAAUGAUUUUUUUUUUUUAAAUAAAGGUUUUAAUAUCCCAUAA